GGAAACCAUUGUGACCUGGAGCUCUAUCCUGAGUAUAUCAAGCACCUGAAGAAGUUCAUAUCAACAGUGGAGAAAUCCCCGUCCCAGAGGUACAGUACCAGGAAGAGCAUGGACCAGAUUGAGAAACCUCGAAGGAGCGUAGAGUUUUUCGAAGUUUCGAGGAAGAGCACAGAUAGGCGUGAAAAACCAAGGCAAAGCACUGAUAGGCCUGAAAAAAUGAAGAACCAACAUGGUAAUACAGAUAAAUUAGAAAAAGUGAGAAUGUCGGUGGACCAUAAAGAAAGGUCACGUAGGAGCAUUGAUUCUCAUGAGAAGUCUAGAAAAAGUGUCGAUCACCAG
rnacentral:misc_RNA from 1 species